UAAGUUUCAAGUCUUUGACUCUGUUCCAGCGUAAGGUUUGAAAGGUCGUAGUACGUGGGGUUGAGGCGUGCCCCAUGGCAAAGCGCGUGUACCAAGUCUGGAAAGGAAGCAAUUAUUUUUUUCUAGGUGGAAGGUUGAUUUUUGGGCCGGAUGCAAAGUCGUUGCUUAUCAGCUUAUUGCUUAUCAUAGUGCCCGUCACUGUUUUCUGUGUGUUCGUUGCAAGGCAUUUGCGCCAUGAGUUCCCAUCGUACAAUGCAGGAUAUGCUAUCUUGGUAGUAGCAAUUGUUUUCACCAUCCAUGUACUGGUGCUGCUGCUUCUUACAUCAGCUCGAGAUCCAGGUAUUGUUCCACGUAAUUCUCAUCCACCAGAGGAGGAGUUCCGUCAUGAACUUUCUGCAUCGGUAGAGGGUGGAAGACAAACGCCCAGCCUUCAAUUUCCCCGAACAAAAGAAGUAAUUGUUAAUGGGAUGCCAGUCAGAGUGAAAUAUUGUGAUACCUGCAUGCUAUAUCGCCCUCCACGUUGUUCGCAUUGCUCCAUCUGUAACAAUUGUGUGGAGCGAUUUGAUCACCACUGCCCAUG
rnacentral:misc_RNA from 1 species